UACGUAGGGCGCAAGCGUUGUCCGGAAUUAUUGGGCGUAAAGAGCUCGUAGGCGGCUUGUCACGUCGAUUGUGAAAGCCCGAGGCUUAACCUCGGGUCUGCAGUCGAUACGGGCUAGCUAGAGUGUGGUAGGGGAGAUCGGAAUUCCUGGUGUAGCGGUGAAAUGCGCAGAUAUCAGGAGGAACACCUGAGGCGAAGGCGGGCUACUGGGCCGAUACUGACGCUGAGGCGCGAAAGCCAGGGGAGCGAACGGG
rnacentral:rRNA from 1 species